CUUAGUGGCGGACGGGUGAGUAACGCGUGGGUAACCUGCCGUUACACAGGGGGAUAACACGUUAGAAAUAGGUGCUAAUACCGCAUAAGCGCACAGUCCCGCAUGGGACAGAGUUGUAAAACAUUAGUGGUGUAAGAUGGACCCGCGUCUGAUUAGCUUGUUGGCGGGGUAACGGCCCACCAAGGCGACGAUCAGUAGCCGGCCUGAGAGGGUGGACGGCCACAUUGGGACUGAGACACGGCCCAAACUCCUACGGGAGGCAGCAG
rnacentral:rRNA from 1 species